AUGAACGCUGGCGGCGUGCCUAAUACAUGCAAGUCGAGCGAACGGACGAGAAGCUUGCUUUUCUGACGUUAGCGGCGGACGGGUGAGUAACACGUGGAUAACCUACCUAUAAGACUGGGAUAACUUCGGGAAACCGGAGCUAAUACCGGAUAAUAUUUUGAACCGCAUGGUUCAAAAGUGAAAGACGGUCUUGCUGUCACUUAUAGAUGGAUCCGCGCUGCAUUAGCUAGUUGGUAAGGUAACGGCUUACCAAGGCAACGAUGCAUAGCCGACCUGAGAGGGUGAUCGGCCACACUGGAACUGAGACACGGUCCAGACUCCUACGGGAGGCAGCAGUAGGGAAUCUUCCGCAAUGGGCGAAAGCCUGACGGAGCAACGCCGCGUGAGUGAUGAAGGUCUUCGGAUCGUAAAACUCUGUUAUUAGGGAAGAACAUAUGUGUAAGUAACUGUGCACAUCUUGACGGUACCUAAUCAGAAAGCCACGGCUAACUACGUG
rnacentral:rRNA from 1 species